CGCUCAUCCAGAGGGGCAGAGGGAUCGGCCCGAAGAAGCCCCGGCAACCGGCGUCAGCCAUUUCGCGUACGCGAGGACGGCGACGAACACGGUGCCAAUUCCGACCCGUACGCGGGACAGAUGAGGA
rnacentral:ncRNA from 2 species